rnacentral:rRNA from 1 species
CCCUGUGACCAUAACACGUUAAAGACACCAGUUCUCGUCUGACCACCACAGUUAAGCAGCGUUGGGACCGGCCGAGAGUACUAGGUGUCGCUGGCU